rnacentral:rRNA from 1 species
AGUGAACGCUGGCGGUAGGCCUAACACAUGCAAGUCGAACGGCGGCACAGUAAGAGUUUGCUCUCACGGGUGGCGAGUGGCGGAUGGGUAAGGAAUACAUCGGCAUCUACUUUUUCGUGGGGGAUAACUUAGGGAAACUUACGCUACUACCGCAUACGACCAACCGGUGGAAGCAGGGGAUCUUCGGGCCUUGGGCUAUUGAAUGAGCCGAUGUCGGAUUAGCUAGUUGGCUGGGUAAAGGCCCACCCAGGCGACGAUCCGUAACUGGUCUGAGUGGCUGAUCAGCCACACUGGAACUGAGACACGGUCCAGACUCCUACGGGAGGCGGAAGUGGGGAAUAUUGGACAAUGGGCGCAAUCCUGAUCCAGCCAUACCGCGUGGGUGAAGAAGGCCUUCGGGUUGUAAAGCCCUUUUGUUGGGAAAGAAAAGCAGCAGGUUAAUACCCCGCUGUUCUGACGGUACCCAAAUAAUAAGCACCGGCUAACUUCGUG